GCAGGGUGUGAAAUUGAAGCGGGGAUGCUGUGGAUUCGCUGUGAUGAUUUUCAGCUGAAAGAUUAUGUAUGGCAUUCCACUGGAAGUUUUGAGUGUUGAUCAUGUCAAUAAGGUCUGGCAACGACUGCAUGCCAGAGCAUGGUCUUAGAUAUCGUCAGCAAAGAGUGUGAGCUCCCCACGGAAGAAAGUGUUCAUCUGAAGAGCUUUCUGUGGAAACCUGGCUGCUCAGCCUUUGCGGGCUCACGCUAGUCUCUCCAGGGAGACCCCGAGUCCUGACCCUUCUUGUUGCUCUCCUGGCACUGCCACGAGGGAUCCCAGUCUGCCAGGAGCAGUGACACCACUGACUGUGCUGUGCUACUUGCCAGCCCAAACUGACUGCUGCCCCAAGGACAGACAAUGUUCUGCCCCCCUCCAGGCAGGCAGCCUCCAGGUGGACUGCCCAGGGCUGUGAUGUCAUGUGCAUCAUCUCCGGACAGGCAGGGACAUCUCUUGGAACGUGUGCCAGGAUCACGCGAGCAGCAGGCUGGGAGACUGGCUUCUCAUAGCCCGUUAACCACAUUCGGCUCCUCAGCUGGAGCAUCUCCGUGCUGUGUUGGGAGGCAUCAAAUGAGGACAAAUGUGCCUGACCCUUUCCAGCUGCUGCUGCUGUGUUUGUUGAGAGAGAACACAUACCUUGGACCUGGAAGAAGGAAGAAAAGCAUUUGACAUCUGUACAUUAACCAUACACAACUAGCUGGACCCUCUGUCCAAGCAGGGCAGCUACUUGAGGUUGUGUGCAAACAAGUGUGUUAACCAGUCAAUGCAUUAAAGGAACAGAUUGUGCCCACUCCGACUGCCAAAGACAACCAGAAAUGCCCUCAUAAUUACCAGGAAGAGCCGUCGCCGAGCUCGUCACCUAAAACACCAAGAAGCGAGGUUUCCAAGAGCGUCCACCACCGGCCUCAUUCCUGACAGCCCCUUUGCCUCAGGGGACAUCACAAAACUCUGACUAUGUGCAAGGGGAAACACGUCUGGGAGACCUCUUUCUUUUCCCACAGCAGGUUGUGGCCCUGCUCAGAAUGGACUGCCAGCGAAAGACAGAAGAAAUGGAAGGGAAAUACACGGACAAAAGGAUGCGGGCAGCUGAAGAGGACAACACAGAAGAGGACAAAGCCACGUUAUCUGGUCAAGAGCAAGCAGCCUUGUGGGUCAGCACUGUGUCUUCAGUGCCAGGAUAUGAGCUGCCUGAUUUCAAAUUGUUGCUGUUGGUUAAGUUUCUGCUCAUCACUGGUCUGA
rnacentral:lncRNA from 1 species